GCCGGAGUGGCGGAACUGGCAGACGCGCGGGACUCAAAAUCCCGUGAGCUAACGCUUGUGAGGGUUCGAGUCCCUCCUCCGGCA
rnacentral:tRNA from 1 species